rnacentral:rRNA from 1 species
AACGAACGCUGGCGGCAUGCCUAAUACAUGCAAGUCGAACGAGAUCUUCGGAUCUAGUGGCGCACGGGUGCGUAACGCGUGGGAAUCUGCCCUUGGGUUCGGAAUAACGUCGGGAAACUGACGCUAAUACCGGAUGAUGACGUAAGUCCAAAGAUUUAUCGCCCAAGGAUGAGCCCGCGUAGGAUUAGCUAGUUGGUAAGGUAAAGGCUUACCAAGGCGACGAUCCUUAGCUGGUCUGAGAGGAUGAUCAGCCACACUGGGACUGAGACACGGCCCAGACUCCUACGGGAGGCAGCAGUAGGGAAUAUUGGACAAUGGGCGCAAGCCUGAUCCAGCAAUGCCGCGUGAGUGAUGAAGGCCUUAGGGUUGUAAAGCUCUUUUACCCGGGAUGAUAAUGACAGUACCGGGAGAAUAAGCCCCGGCUAACUCCGUGCCAGCCGCCGCGGUAA